rfam:Daphnia pulex DAPPTscaffold_823_Cont11162, whole genome shotgun sequence.
GAUAGUGUGGCCGAAUGUUCUAUGGCGCUGGUUUAAGGCACCAGUCUCUUCGGAGGCAAGGGUUCGAAUAGUCUUUUCACUGUCA